AAGUCGAACGAAGCGCUUUGAAUUCUUCGGAAAGAUGAGUGACUGAGUGGCGGACGGGUGAGUAACGCGUGGGUAACCUGCCUCAUACAGGGGGAUAACAGUUAGAAAUGACUGCUAAUACCGCAUAAGCGCACGGUAUCGCAUGAUGCAGUGUGAAAAACUCCGGUGGUAUGAGAUGGACCCGCGUCUGAUUAGCUAGUUGGUGGGGCAGCGGCCUACCAAGGCGACGAUCAGUAGCCGACCUGAGAGGGUGACCGGCCACAUUGGGACUGAGACACGGCCCAAACUCCUACGGGAGGCAGCAGUGGGGAAUAUUGCACAAUGGGCGAAAGCCUGAUGCAGCGACGCCGCGUGAGCGAAGAAGUAUUUCGGUAUGUAAAGCUCUAUCAGCAGGGAAGAAAAUGACGGUACCUGACUAAGAAGCCCCGGCUAACUACGUGCCAGCAGCCGCGGUAAUACGUAGGGGGCAAGCGUUAUCCGGAUUUACUGGGUGUAAAGGGAGCGUAGACGGAGAGGCAAGUCUGAAGUGAAAACCCAAGGCUCAACCAUGGGACUGCUUUGGAAACUGUUUUUCUGGAGUGCCGGAGGGGUAAGCGGAAUUCCUAGUGUAGCGGUGAAAUGCGUAGAUAUUAGGAGGAACACCAGUGGCGAAGGCGGCUUACUGGACGGUAACUGACGUU
rnacentral:rRNA from 1 species